AUGGCCACCAAGUCCCAAAAGAAGAAGCUCUCCGCCCCUAACCCCUCCGUCGACGCCAAGAAGCCCAAACCUCAGAAACCCGUCGAGGAGCGAGAGACGGCGGUGGCGGCCAAGAAGCCAAAACCGAAGAAGCAGAAGGAGGGCAAGGAGGCCUCUGCCAAGAAGCCGAAGGAGCAGAAGGAGGUCUCUGCCAAGAAGACGAAGAAGCAGAAGGAGAGCAACGAGAUCGACGAGAUCUUCGAGGCCACCAAGAAGCGCAAGCUGCAGGAGCAGGAGGAGGAUGAGGAGGGGUCCGAGGGGGGCAAGAAGCCCAGGAAGGGCAAGGCCGAGGGGGCUAGUAAGAAGAAGAGCAAGAAGGAGACUGGGGGCAGAGGCUGGGAGCCCGGCCACGAUGAUGAGGUCGAGGAGAAGCGGCCGCGGCGGCGCACCAAUGACGGGCUCACCAUAUACUCCGCCGACGAGCUCGGGUUCGGCAAGGCCGACGCCGGCGGCACCGCCCUCUGCCCCUUCGACUGCGACUGCUGCUUCUGA
rnacentral:rRNA from 1 species